UUGGAGGGCAAGUCUGGUGCCAGCAGCCGCGGUAAUUCCAGCUCCAAUAGCGUAUAUCAAAGUUGUUGCAGUUAAAAAGCUCGUAGUUGAAUUUCGGGGUCAGUAGGUCGGUCGUGCCACUGGUAUGAACUGGUUUUACUGAUUCCUCCCUCUUGAAGAACUGUAAUGCCAUUAAUUUGGUGUUGCAGGGAAUCAGGACUGUUACUUUGAAAAAAUUAGAGUGUUUAAAGCAGGCUUUAGCUUGAAUACAUUAGCAUGGAAUAAUGAAAUAGGACGUUUGAUCCUAUUUUGUUGGUUUCCAGGAUUGACGUAAUGAUUAAUAGGGAUAGUUGGGGGCAUUAGUAUUCAAUUGUCAGAGGUGAAAUUCUUGGAUUUAUUGAAGACUAACUACUGCGAAAGCAUUUGCCAAGGAUGUUUUCAUUAAUCAAGAACGAAAGUUAGGGGAUCGAAGACGAUCAGAUACCGUCGUAGUCUUAACCAUAAACUAUGCCGACUAGGGAUCGGAUGAUGUUAAUUUUUUAAUGACUCGUUCGGCGCCUUACGGGAAAC
rnacentral:rRNA from 1 species